rnacentral:rRNA from 1 species
UACGUAGGGUCCGAGCGUUGUCCGGAAUUAUUGGGCGUAAAGGGCUCGUAGGCGGUUUGUCGCGUCGGGAGUGAAAACACGGGGCUUAACCCCGUGCCUGCUUCCGAUACGGGCAGACUAGAGGUAUGCAGGGGAGAACGGAAUUCCUGGUGUAGCGGUGAAAAUGCGCAGAUAUCAGGAGGAACACCGGUGGCGAAGGCGGGUCUCUGGGCCGAUACUGACGCUGAGGAGCGAAAGCGUGGGGAGCGAACAGG